UACAGAGGUCCCAAGCGUUGUUCGGAUUCACUGGGCGUAAAGGGUGCGUAGGCGGCGCGGUAAGUCGGGUGUGAAAUCUCGGAGCUUAACUCCGAAACUGCAUUCGAUACUGCCGUGCUUGAGGACUGGAGAGGAGACUGGAAUUUACGGUGUAGCGGUGAAAUGCGUAGAUAUCGUAAGGAAGACCAGUGGCGAAGGCGAAUCUCUGGACAGUUACUGACACUGAGGCACGAAGGCCAGGGGAGCAAACGGG
rnacentral:rRNA from 1 species